CCUACGGGAGGCUGCAGUGAGGAAUAUUGGUCAAUGGACGUAAGUCUGAACCAGCCAUGCAGCGUGCAGGAAGACGGCUCUAUGAGUUGUAAACUGCUUUUGUACGGGGGUAAACGCAGAUACGUGUGUCUUUCUGAAAGUAUCGUACGAAUAAGGAUCGGCUAACUCCGUGCCAGCAGCCGCGGUAAUACGGAGGAUUCAAGCGUUAUCCGGAUUUAUUGGGUUUAAAGGGUGCGUAGGCGGACGGAUAAGUUAGAGGUGAAAUCCCGAGGCUCAACCUCGGAAUUGCCUCUGAUACUGGUUGGCUAGAGAGGAGUGGCGGUAGGCGGAAUGUAUGGUGUAGCGGUGAAAUGCUUAGAGAUCAUACAGAACACCGAUUGCGAAGGCAGCUUACGAAGCUACUUCUGACGUUGAGGCACGAAAGCGUGGGGAGCAAACAGGAUUAGAUACCCGGGUAGUC
rnacentral:rRNA from 1 species